rnacentral:rRNA from 1 species
GACUUGACAUCUCCUGAAUUACUCUUAAUCGAGGAAGUCCCUUCGGGGACAGGAAGACAGGUGGUGCAUGGUUGUCGUCAGCUCGUGUCGUGAGAUGUUGGGUUAAGUCCCGCAACGAGCGCAACCCUUAUUGUUAGUUGCUACUAUUAAGUUAAGCACUCUAACGAGACUGCCGCGGUUAACGUGGAGGAAGGUGGGGAUGACGUCAAAUCAUCAUGCCCCUUAUGUCUAGGGCUACACACGUGCUACAAUGGCUGGUACAACGAGCAGCAAACCCGCGAGGGGGAGCAAAACUUGAAAGCCAGUCCCAGUUCGGAUUGUAGGCUGAAACUCGCCUACAUGAAGUUGGAGUUGCUAGUAAUCGCGAAUCAGCAUGUCGCGGUGAAUACGUUCCCGGGUCUUGUACACACCGCCCGUCACACCAUGAGAGCCGGUAACACCCGAAGCCCGUGAGGUAACCGUAAGGAGCCAGCGGUCGAAGGUGGGAUUGGUGAUUGGGGUGAAGUCGUAACAAGGUAGCCGUAGGAGACCCUGCGGCUGGAUCACCUCCUUUCUAGGGA